rnacentral:sRNA from 1 species
CAGUUUUAUUGUGCCCUGUAUACAGAGGAGUACGCUAUAUCCAGUAUACGUACUGACGAGCAUGCAAACAAUGAAUUUAGGGUGAUAGGAUCCAUGUCAAAUAGUAAAGAAUUCGCCAAGGCGUUCAACUGUAAAGCGGGUACGCCUAUGAACCCAAG